AAGGGUCAGUUUUGUCAUCUGUAGAACAGGAACCACAACAGUACCCAUUCUACUGGGUAGUCAUGAGUCAGACUGUAUCCCUUGAAAUCCUGGCCCCACCAUUUUCUAGCCAUGUGACCCUAGACAAGUUACUUGACCUCCAUGUGGCUGUGUUUUCAUCUGUGAUAUGGGCAUAAUAACAGCACCUCAUCGGGCUGGUAUGAGUCCCAAAUGAAUUAAUAUAGGCAAAGCACUACCCUGUGCCCGUAGACAGUGUGGGCACAGAGGCCCUUUCACCUAGGAGCAUAUGGUCUGAGGGUGGGGACCUAAAUGGGCACCAUACAGUGUGAUAGGGGCCAGAGGGGGGUGCCCAGGAAGCGAGGAGUGGUCACCACUGCCUUGAUGGAGAUGGUCAGUGCCGGCCUCACUGAGGAAGCGCUAGGUGGGCUGGUCUUGAAGGUAGAUCGGGAGGUCAGUCCUGCCUCCCUCUGCCCGCCUGUCUGUGUCCCAGCUGGUGUGCGAGUUCUUGAGGGACCCACUGUGUUCCUUGUGCGCCGGGUGUGGAAGGGGCACUAUGUGCAGGGGCUUCACUGGGAGGCACAGUGUGAAACCUUCAGGGAACUGCACAUUACUUGGAAUCAAAGAGAUGUCCUAACUAUUCCCUUUCCUUUUUCCUCUUCACUUUAAACUGUGGCUUGGUCAGGGUGACCUUAGGGGAAAACAAAAUUUAAAAAGGUUGAGAAGAGUUUGUAUCAAAAUGCGGUGUAUCUGCUGAGGCAGUUGCUCGCAAGCUCUGAAGACAGUAUUUGUUGAGGAUUUGGUGCACCGAGGAGGUGAGCACAGAGGAGCUAGGGCUCUCCUGAAAGCCUCAGGAACAAGGGCCAGAGAGCUGAGGCUUGCUUGAGUGGCUGGGAGAGCUCUGCCCUUAUAUGUCCCCAGCCAUGCACAUCGUGGGAGACUGAGUUGCCCUUCCGCGGUGGGGGGACCGACCGUCAGGACCAGCAUUUACUGUUACUCAUGUUGAAGAAAUCGAUGUCCAAAGGCGUUAAAUAGUGGCCCCAGUCACAUGGUAGUGAGUGGCAGAUGGGGAUUUGAGUCCAGCCCUCACCAACUCUCUGUGCUCUGUUGAUGCGGUGAACUUGAAUUCCUUGUUCAAUGAAUGAUCCUAAUCUUGCCUUCAGCUCGUAAUAAUUAAUAAUAAUAAAAAUGAAUUUAACUGAA